rnacentral:rRNA from 1 species
AAUCAACGCUGGCGGCGUGCCUAACACAUGCAAGUCGAACGAGAAAGUGGAGCAAUCCAUGAGUACAGUGGCGACCGGGUGAGUAACACGUGACUAACCUACCCUCGAGUGGGGGAUAACUCCGGGAAACCGGGGCUAAUACCGCAUAACAUCGCUUGGUGAAAUUCCUUGUGAUCAAAGGAGCAAUUCGUUUGAGGAGGGAGUCGCGUCUGAUUAGCUAGUUGGUGAGGUAACGGCCCACCAAGGCGAUGAUCAGUAGCCGGCCUGAGAGGGCGCACGGCCACACUGGAACUGAGACACGGUCCAGACUCCUACGGGAGGCAGCAGUGGGGAAUUUUGCGCAAUGGGGGAAACCCUGACGCAGCAACGCCGCGUGGAGGAUGAAGUCCUUUGGGAUGUAAACUCCUUUCGACCGGGAAGAUUAUGACGGUACCGGAGGAAGAAGCACCGGCUAACUCUGUGCCAGCAGCCGCGGUAACAC